rnacentral:lncRNA from 1 species
CCUGGAAGGUUUCAUCUCCUCGGUGCUGUGUUGCUGUUUCCUUUGCUCUCCGCUGGUCUGACUGCUGCUCGCUUGUGCAAGCAGACGGGGAUAGUCAUAAGAAAAGACUGGUGGGACGUCAACGAGAUCUCAGUGCUUUGGGAGACCAGGUGGCACGUGAGGUGAGAAGAUCUUAGGUGACAAAGGAUAUGAGUGAGACACCACUAAGCUGAACGAGCUACUGCAUGGAAGAUCU